GACGAACGCUGGCGGCGUGCUUAACACAUGCAAGUCGAACGGAAAGGCCCUGCUUUUGUGGGGUGCUCGAGUGGCGAACGGGUGAGUAACACGUGAGUAACCUGCCCUUGACUUUGGUAUAACUUCAGGAAACUGGGGCUAAUACCGGAUAGGAGCUCCUGCUGCAUGGUGGGGGUUGGAAAGUUUCGGCGGUUGGAGAUGGACUCGCGGCUUAUCAGCUUGUUGGUGGGGUAGUGGCUUACCAAGGCUUUGACGGGUAGCCGGCCUGAGAGGGUGACCGGCCACAUUGGGACUGAGAUACGGCCCAGACUCCUACGGGAGGCAGCAGUGGGGAAUAUUGCACAAUGGGCGGAAGCCUGAUGCAGCAACGCCGCGUGCGGGAUGACGGCCUUCGGGUUGUAAACCGCUUUCGCCUGGGACGAAGCGUGAGUGACGGUAAUGGGUAAAGAAGCACCGGCUAACUACGUG
rnacentral:rRNA from 1 species